AAUUACAACUUAUCAGGAACAAAUAGUGCCAUUGAUUGUGUAACAGUAAGUAUUAAACUUAUAAGGACAUACACACACACUAAGUCUCUUUGUUUUUACAUGAUUUAGAAUCAAUGGCAAAAAAAGGGGAGGGGGAAAUAAUGCAACAAAACCCCAGAUGUUAACACAGAAAUGCUUUGUUUUUUUAAAUCUAUGACACACUGGAAAUAAAAGAUACAAGGCAUCAAUAGAAAACCUACAUUAUACACACACCAAAGUCUCAAUGUGGAACACAUUGUACACACCACAGACUCUCUAAAAGGCAGUAAAAACUAGUUCCAGAUUUGAAACACUUUCUAUAUUUAUAGAAGAGACACCCCCCCCCCCC